AUUUUUAUUGUAAAUAAUUAGUAUAUAUAUAUGCGACGAUUCACGAAUGUAAGCCUUCAAUUCCUGUUUAAAGUUCUCGUUCUUUUCUGUUUAUAGAAACUAAAGGCUUGUGUUCCCUUUGACGAAAAGUUGACUGUGGUGGCAGCAAACAAGAAAGUGUCAUAGAUGAUAAUUGUGACGUCAACACAUGUUAUGAUGAUUCUUAUGAUGUCCAUGUUGAUUAUAUUAAUGGUAAUAAUAAUAAAUCUUUAUGUCCUUCAAUACUGAAGAGUCACAUGCUUUAAUACUAGAUAAUAAAAUAUUUAUAAAGUUAACAUAUGAUAUUUAUCAAAAUAAACAGAUAAUUAUCUAUUAUUUAACUGACAAAUGUUGGCAGUCCUGGACACUUUUUAGUGUUUUUUAUCAUUCGUUGUUCAUCUAUGUAUCUAACAGAAAAAAUAUAUAGUAAGGCUUGUUUGUUGGAUUCAUUUUACGCCUUUUCCCAACAGUAUUUCAGUCUUAUACGAGCGGGUAGUUUCCUAACCAUCGUUCCUGGAGAGUUACACCAGUACUAGACUACCUUACUCCGUGAUCGAACCCACGCCAGAGAGGUAACUGGAUUUGAAGUCAUCGACUCUAACACAUCGACCACGGAGGCGGUUACUAUUUAUCGUACUAACACGAAGACUAACUUGUUAGUCAGAUAGUUAACGCGAUAAUUAUAUGGUUAACUGUUGGCAGAAAUAUGUCACUAUACAUGUUGAUGACAAUGGCGUUUGUCCAUGGUUAUGUUGAUGAGAACGUCCAUGGGUGUGACAAUGGCGUUGUCCAUGGUUAUGUUGAUGAGAACGUCCAUGGGUGUGACAAUGGCGUUGUACAUGGUUAUGUUGAUGAGAACGUCCAUGGGUGUGACAAUGGCGUUGUACAUGGUUAUGUUGAUGAGAACGUCCAUGGGUGUGACAAUGGCGUUGUCCAUGGUUAUGUUGAUGAGAACGUCCAUGGGUGUGACAAUGGCGUUUGUCCAUGGUUAUGUUGAUGAGAACGUCCAUGGGUGUGACAAUGGCGUUUGUCCAUGGUUAUGUUGAUGAGAACGUCCAUGGGUGUGACAAUGGGGUUGUCCAUGGUUAUGUUGAUGAGAACGUCCAUGGGUGUGACAAUGGCGUUGUACAUGGUUAUGUUGAUGAGAACGUCCAUGGGUGUGACAAUGGCGUUGUCCAUGGUUAUGUUGAUGAGAACGUCCAUGGGUGUGACAAUGGCGAUGAAAUGACGUUGUUCAAGAUAGUAAGCAAUCAUCAGGAAAAACUAGUUAUUUUUAGAAACUACUUAUUUUUAAACAAAUGAUUUUUAACUUUUCUUCAUAAGUUUUUUUCAGUUUCAAAAGAUGAAAUUUCAAAAGGAACUUGCAAUAAAUCAUACUAUAUCGGACCAUGCUGGUGGAGCAAGGACAUCACACAUUGAUUAUGCAAUGUAAAAAAAGCAUACUUAUCUAAGUGAACAACCAUGCGGAAAAUUUGACAUACAUAUAUAAAUGGUAUUGCCAAUAACCGAAAUUGUGUAGAAUUAAACAAUUUUAUAUGAAAUGAAGAUUUUUUUUUCAAAAUUGAAAGCCCAAGACUAUGUUUUAUGUUUAUGUAUAUUGACGAUAUUUUGUUUGCAUUGUGUUGUUUUGGUUUCUUUCUCAAAUUUUUUGAGUUUUGUGUGUGAUUGGGGUUAUUCGACUUGGGUUCGGUGUUUUGGUUAGUGUCUUUGUGGGAGUUGUUUUUGUGGUCAUGGUAGCUUUUCUCUGUCGAAAUAGUUUGUAUGGUGGUUAUUUCUGAAUAGUUUGGGAAUUGGUGGUCGAUAGGACAUUUGCUUCUUUCCUGAAACAUUGUGAUUCAUUUGAAAAUUGUGGAUUUGGUUAUAUUACUCGAAUUUUGUAUUCAUGAGUGUAAAAUAAUAUUUCAUAUACAUAUAGUUAUAGUAAUCUUAUUAGAGACAUUUUGUGCUUUAGAUGUAUACAUAGAACGGGCCAUCUUUAUUAUAAUAUUGAUGUUUUAUAUGAAUAAUGUGAUAUUUUUGAUAAUUAUAUUUAUAUAUAGGUGCAAAAUGCGAAAUUAUAUUAAAGAUAAUAUUGAUUCUUUUCGAGCGUGACAUUUCUAAUAAUGAUAUUGAGUUGUUGAAUGCGACAUUUUUAUCAAUUGUAUACUGAUUUUUUAGAUGCAGAAUGUGACAUUUUUAUCAAUUUUUUACUGAUUUUUUAGAUGCAGAAUGUGACAAUUGUGAUAUUUAAGUCUAGUAUAGAGUAUUGUUUUUUUAGAUGGCAUAAGAAAGCAUCUCUGGAUGACGAAGACAAAACUAGAUAAAAUUACUAGUAUAUUUCUAAACAUUAUCACUUUAUAUUUCAGACUGUUGUUUGAUUGAUAGUAAAAAUAGAAAUAGUUUACAGAGAUCAUUGAAGUGACGCCCUUGUCAAAUGUACCCCUAAAGCAGAAAGUGGCGGGUUGUAAUUUGUCGCGCAGACGUAAUCAUGUACCAUUUCAGACUUCCGGAAUUGCAGACGACUGGCCAAGCUCUAUACUGGUGGUAAAGAAUAACCAUUCGCUUUCAGCAGGGUACGGUUUGAAAAAGGAAAACAAAACUUUGUAAUGUAUGUCUUGUUUACUUUCUGAAAAAUAAACUUUCGUGUCAAUCAACAUAGCAUUAUUGUCUAACGUUUCAUAAUGAACCAUUUUAGCCCAACAUUUUGAAAAACAAGUAAGGGCUAUUUUAGUCACUUGGUCGACUGUUCUUGAAAAACACUUCGUUUUGCAUAUCUGCAUACGUUUUGCGUGUAACUUCCUACCUCAGAAUUUAUAAUGAUUGUGUAACGGGGAGCAUAAUCUAAACACCUGUAAUUCUAAAAAAGAUUUUGAUUUAAUUAUACCACUUAGUUAACUUGAUUUAAAGCAGUCAUGUUGAAAAUAACUACUUAAGUUUACAAAUAUAUUCUUAUCAAAUAAGCAUAAUUAUGCUGAGUUACGGAUCAUUAAGAACAUUUCAGUACUUUAAACAAAAACAAAACUUAUAAAUAAUAUAAGUUACAAUUAUUUUUAAAAUGCUUAAAAUAAUUAUGUAACAUUUGUUCGACCAUGUUACCAAUACUGUUUUCACAGGUAGCAGACGACAAUACAUUUUGAAAUGGAAAGGUGUGACCCUGUUGUCUACUACUCAAUGUUGUGACCCUGAUGUUAUGAAAUGAGGGUGAUUUAUUCUUGUUCCAGUAUCAUGAUUUGAAAUUAGGAAAGAACAAGAUAUGAAAAAUAAGUCCCGGCGAACUGAUCUUGGCAUGUAACAUCCUUAUCACAGAAGUGGAACCUAUUGAUUAAGAAAUAUGGAACAUGGUUAGUUAAGCGAGUGACGGAAUGAAGAAAACCACCCUUUACAGUCGGCAAAAUAACUAUACUUCCGGUUUGGAACUACUGCAUGCCGUUACAACAUACGUGCCAAAGAGAUUUCAUCUACCUGAUUUGGUAUUUUCCUGGAAAUGUCAUGAUCUUAAUGUGUUUUUUUUCCUGCCAGAUUAAGGAGAAUAUUACGAUGUAACUGUCUUAUAUUAUGGCAUUUAUGAAGUAAUGAGUUGUUGCUUUUUUGGCAUAGUAAUAAAAACCAUAAUGUUACCUCGAGUGGAUUUUCUACAUGCGCUUGUAAAAACAACACCUUCUUAAAUGCCGUGAUGUGAACAGAAUAGAAGAGAUAUUUUAUUUGCUUUUUACAUUGUACAUCUUCUUCUAUUUACAAACACAUUGUACCGUCAAUGU